AUUCCUGUAUUUCAGUCAGUAGAACAUGGCACUAGCAAUGCCAAGCUCAUGGGUUUGAAUCCCACAUAAAUG